rnacentral:rRNA from 1 species
GAUGAACGCUGGCGGCGUGCAUAACACAUUCAAGUCGAACGGAGCAAUUUGGUUUUAAUCCUUCGGGAAGCGAACCGAAUUACUUAGUGGCGGACGGGUGAGUAACGCGUGAGCAACCUACCUCUGUUUGUGGGAUAACGUCGGGAAACUGACGCUAAUACCGCAUAACGCAUUUUCUUCGCAUGUGGGGAAUGCCAAAGAUUUAUUGAACAGAGAUGGGCUCGCGUCUGAUUAGGUAGUUGGUGAGGUAACGGCCCACCAAGCCGACGAUCAGUAGCCGGUCUGAGAGGAUGAACGGCCACAUUGGGACUGAGAUACGGCCCAGACUCCUACGGGAGGCAGCAGUGGGGAAUAUUGGGCAAUGGGGGAAACCCUGACCCAGCAACGCCGCGUGAAGGAGAAGGCCUGGUUGUAACUUCUUUAGUAGGUACGAAGAACGU